rnacentral:rRNA from 1 species
AGUUGGUGGAGUGAUUUGUCUGGUUAAUUCCGUUAACGAACGAGACCUUAACCUGCUAAAUACGUACGUCGCACUUUCGGGUGUGGCGCGACUUCUUAGAGGGACUUUGUGCGUCUAGUGCAAGGAAGUUUGAGGCAAUAACAGGU